CUGGAUUGGACUCGGUUAUAAGAGUUGGUACUCUCAUGGAAGAGGAGGUUGCAAUUCCAUGUUGUGUUUUCAAUCCAAGUGAUAAUAAUAACAGUGGUGAUGCUGAUUGUCUUCUGUUCAUUGGCUUCUUGUAUGCAAUGGUUGGGAUUAUCUUGUUGAUGAUCUCUCUUUUUUGUGGUCGAGGGAUUCCUUUAAAGGAUGAUAUCGUUUUCUUGCUAUCUA
rnacentral:lncRNA from 1 species